rnacentral:rRNA from 1 species
GACGAACGCUGGCGGCGUGCUUAACACAUGCAAGUCGAACGGAAAGACCCUGCUUUUGUGGGGUGCUCGAGUGGCGAACGGGUGAGUAACACGUGAGUAACCUGCCCUUGACUUUGGGAUAACUUCAGGAAACUGGGGCUAAUACCGGAUAGGAGCUCCUGCUGCAUGGUGGGGGUUGGAAAGUUUCGGCGGUUGGGGAUGGACUCGCGGCUUAUCAGCUUGUUGGUGGGGUAGUGGCUUACCAAGGCUUUGACGGGAAGCCGGCCUGAGAGGGUGACCGGCCACAUUGGGACUGAGAUACGGCCCAGACUCCUACGGGAGGCAGCAGUGGGGAAUAUUGCACAAUGGGCGGAAGCCUGAUGCAGCAACGCCGCGUGCGGGAUGACGGCCUUCGGGUUGUAAACCGCUUUCGCCUGUGACGAAGCGUGAGUGACGGUAAUGGGUAAAGAAGCACCGGCUAACUACGUG